rnacentral:rRNA from 1 species
AUUGAACGCUGGCGACAGGCUUAACACAUGCAAGUCGAACGAGUGGCGGACGGGUGAGUAAUGCUUGGGAAUCUAGCUUAUGGAGGGGGAUAACUACGGGAAACUGUAGAUAAUACCGCGUACCAUAGGAUGAGCCCAAGUGGGAUUAGGUAGUUGGUGAGGUAAAGGCUCACCAAGCCGACGAUCUCUAGCUUGUCUGAGAGGAUGACCAGCCACGCUGGGACUGAGACACGGCCCAGACUCCUACGGGAGGCAGCAGGUGGGAAGAUUGCGCAAUGGGCGCAACCUUACGCAGCCAUGCCGCGUGAAUGAAGAAGGCCUUCGGGUUGUAAAGUUCUUUCGGUAGCGAGGCGUUAACUACAGAAUAAGCACCGGCUAACUCCGUGCCAGCAGCCGCGGUAAUUC